CAAGGAGGGAGCCGCCGGCGACAAGAAGAAGAAGAAGAAGGCGAAGAAGAGCACCGAGACGUACAAGAUCUACAUAUUUAAGGUCCUGAAGCAGGUCCACCCUGACAUCGGGAUCUCGAGCAAGGCCAUGGGCAUCAUGAACUCCUUCAUCAACGACAUCUUCGAGAAGCUCGCCCAGGAGGCGUCCAAGCUUGCCCGCUACAAUAAGAAGCCUACAAUUACCUCCCGGGAGAUUCAGACCUCUGUCCGCCUCGUCCUUCCCGGUGAGCUUGCGAAGCACGCCGUCUCGGAGGGCACCAAGGCCGUCACCAAGUUCACUAGCUCGUAGAUCUAGAUUUCGUUUUUGCCCUUUUUGCCUCGUUUCUGAUGUUGUAUAAUUUCCAAGGGCUUCUGUUUUUUCUCUGAUGUCUUAUCUAAUGCUGUAGAAAUGAAUCGUCUUUUAAUGUUAAUGGUAGUAGUUUGGGCUUAUUUGGGAUAAAUUUCAUGAUUGAUUGGUUCGUGUGAUGAGGAGGAUCUGAUUUGCUGCCAUCUAAAUUCGUUGUUGUUUUGUUCCGUGAAUCAUUACUCAUCGCUCGUUUUGUACGUUGGUUUGCUCUGGCCCGGAGCUUCGAUGGAACUUCGAGGCUUGAUGAGCUUUCCCUUGCACGGACCUUAGCCCUCACCUCUUCCGAGUUCCGUCAACGUUGUCCUGGCUCCUGAAUUUGUUCUCCUGGCUCCUGAAUUUGUUCUCCUUUCCACCGUAAGAGAAAAUAACACCAUUAUACAACACCAUUAUACACCGUGAGAGAAAAUAACACCAUUAUAUAUGUAUAUAUAUUCUUUUAAAGUCCAUUAUAUAUGUAUAUAUAUUCUUUUAAAGUCCAUUAAGAAUGAGCAGUGUGACAACUAUUUCGCCUUUUAAUUGGCCACCCAUCUUCAGCUCAGUUUUGGCAAUAACAUAAGCAAUAUAGGGAUAAAGACUUGGAUGGAAGAUAACAAUUUUAACAUGAUAUUGAUUUUAUCACAUUUUUCAUGUGAUUUCUACAAGGCAAAUUUCGUCUAUUUAGACCACUGUUUGGUCUUCAGCGGCUUCCUCAACCAUUCUAUAGCAACUAUUUGUAUUGUUGAAUUGGCUGCCAGAAAUCUAAGAAGUUGCAGAAAUAUGUAUAAUCUGUGUGUUUGAAUAAAUUUCCAGAAAUCUAAGAAGUUGCAGAAAUAUGUAUAAUCUGUGUGUUUGAAUAAAUUUCCACUGGUUCAUUCAUUGAGAAUAAUUUAACAGUCAUGUAACCAAGGAAAGAGUAAAAAAUAAUUUAUUUUUUCUUCCAUAAAUUAGACAAUAUUGGUGGUUAUGGAGCAAGCAUAUCUUUUAAGAUUAAUAGCUAUCCCAGAAAUGGGGUCUCAUGUUUUGUACAUGGAUUUUCUUGUUGAAAUCUGUUACUUUGAGGCCUUAUCAGGCCCGCCUUUUAAGUAUGACCCUAACUAUCAAUAGACACAAUCGCACCACGUAGCAAAUCAUACCGUUUCAAUGGUCGAGAUUUCUACUCAUGCUCAAAUAACUAGAACUUGUUAACACGAAAACGAAGACCACUUUUGUUCGAUGCAUCAUGCAUGACUUGCUUGAUCCACAACGUUAAAAAAAAAAAAAACAAAGAGAGAGAAUGUAUGCUUCGAAAGGUGAAAGUACAGAAAGAAAUCGAAAAGGUGAGUCUAGGGUUUCUUCUUCUCUUGAGAGGAAAUUGAAGUUACUACGGGUAAUCACUCAAGUUCGAUGGGAGUUUCCUUGCUGAGUUCGUCCUUUGGUCUUAUGAUCGUUGCAGUAGGGUGGCUAUCUCACCUCCUUCGAGGACUAAUUUGCCAUCGAAAGAAAGAUUGAAGGAGGUUCCAUGGACAUGGUCAUAGAGGUGGUUCAGGGCCCGAGACAUUGUUGUUGGGAGACUUCUUGGGCUUCGGAUUAGCAACUGGUGUUGCUGGAGCGCAAGUUUGCUGAAGUUGUGGUUUUCUCGAAGGAAGAAAUCAAGAUGGCCACCGAUCGUAAGCGAUAUGCCUUGAUGGGGAAGUUUCUUGGCCAUUGUUUUCCUUUAAAUUUUGUUGAAAAGGAGAUGAAGAUUCACAAACUAUCAUGCCUUCAUCUUACCAAAGAAUGUAAAUUAAACCCAAUUCACCUUGGUUUUUAGGCAAACGUAUUAGAUCCCAUGCUAGUGCAUGAAAACUUCUUCGAUCUGUAGGAUGACCCCAAAGAAUAGCCUGAAUUCCUUCUUUAGAUUGUCAAUGAUAGACAAAAGAAGUAGAAAAGAUGAUAAUACAUAGAGAGAUAAAAGACAAUACGGAUUAAAGUAAUGUAACUCGACAUGCUAAGGAUAAAUGCUUCCAUUUUAUUAGUUAUUCUAUUGAGCAAAAGAUUAAAAAUUCUAAUAUAAAAAACGGCUGACCUAACGAAGUAACCCAUAAGUAUUGCCAAGCAGACCUUUAUCUUGGAUAUGCAGCAACCAAAGUAUACGAGACUUAACCCUAUCAGGUGUAGUAGGGCAAAAGGUAACAUAGUUCACUACCUGAAUAGAAUGAUAAAAAUAAGUAUCGUUGAGUGCAGCUAAACAAAUAACAUUCCUAAUUGUAGGACGAGCAAGCAAAAUAGAAUCAUCCAUCAAGAAUAUAUGAGAGAAAUUCAUGCCCUGACACGGUCUAUAUACUUUCAGUAAAUUUUGUAAAAUAGCACAAUUUAGUAACCUGAAAAAGAUUUUAGAACAUAGAAUAAAAAGAUAUGAAGAUAAAUGAUAGCCUUGCCUAAGACCAUUAGAUGCUAAAGACCAUGGCAUAAGUGACCUAUUUAUUAAUAAAGUAAAAUGAGGAGAUGAAAUGCAGAGUUCAACCAUUUCACAAAGUUUGGGACGAAAGCCAAUUUGAGUGAGAACUCAAAGAAGAAAUUUUCAAUGCACCUGUCAUAAUCUUUCUUCAUAUUUACUUUUAACCUCAUCAAGCAUACAAAUCGUAGGACCCAAAAUACCAAUACAUGAGUUCUUGGGCUAACAAGAUAGUAGCAGUGAUAUGUUGACCAGCCAUAAAAAACCCUUGCUCACAUGAUAUGACAGAGAGCAAAACAAUCUUCACCCUAUUAAUAAGGACUUUUGCUACUAAUUUAUAAAAAAACGUUACCAAGACUAAUUGGACGAUAAUUCAUUGGAGUUUGUGGAUUGAGCUUCUUAGAUAGCAAAGUAAUAAAUAUAUUGGACCAGGAUCGAGGAAGAAUAUUGGAAUUAAAUAAGUCCUGAUUACUAAGAAUCAUCUCAAUGUUAAUAAGAGCCCAAUAAUUUUGGGGGAAGAAAAAAAAUGGAAACCAAUCUGACCCAGUUGUUUAAUCCGGAUGCAGCCAACUAAACUUCUUCCUCGGGGUUUCUUUUCUUUGAAGUUCUGCCCCACUUUUUCCUCACAGUUUUUCUUAUUUUGGAUUUUCCUUGUACUAUUACUGUUUUCUGCAGAAUUGGGCCUGUGUUUUUGUCUGUAUAGCAUAGGCCCAAAACUACGCCUCUCAUACAUAUCUGCAGUGCUUUCCAUGCUCCAUACAAAAAAAUAAAAAAUAAAAAAAUAAGAGCCGUCUAUUUUCACCGUGCUCGAUCAGAUCGAACGGUCAACGAAUAUGCCAACCCACAGAUCCGAAACAAACCACCUCCACCAAUCACCAUCCCUGCCUUCCCUUUUUUAUAACCGCAUCGCUCUCUGUCUCACCUCGCCCGCUUCCUCGUUCUCAUUCCUUUCGCGGGUAUUCUCUUAGCCCUGAAACCUCUUUCGAUCUCGAUGGCGCCAAGGGCGGAGAAGAAGCCCGCGGAGAAGAAGCCAGCGGAGGACAAGGAGAAGAAGACGGUCGCCGAGAAGGCCCCCGCCGAGAAGAAGCCCAAGGCCGAGAAGCGGGUGCCGGCCAAGGAGGGGGCCGCUGGCGACAAGAAGAGGAAGAAGAAGGCUAAGAAGAGCAGCGAGACCUACAAGAUCUACAUCUUCAAGGUCCUGAAGCAGGUCCACCCGGACAUCGGGAUCUCGAGCAAGGCCAUGGGCAUCAUGAACUCCUUCAUCAACGACAUCUUCGAGAAGCUCGCCCAGGAGGCCUCCCGUCUUGCCCGU
rnacentral:lncRNA from 1 species